UGCUUUCAUGCUUAUUGAAAGAGCACGGAGGACUGUUCAUGGAUCUGCUGAUGAUAUAGGAUGGAUGCAACGUGCUUCACAGGUGCCUUCAGUUGAAGAUGGCACUGAAAGGGUUAUGGAAAUUCUUGAUAACAUCGGUUAUUUUGCAGGUCUUUUCAGUAAUCAUGGACCACUUUAUUUUGUUAAUACAAAAGUGAGCUUCUAUAAGAUGGGCCUAGCCUGUCACAUUGCAUAGAUUCACAGUGAGGCUUCAGAGGAGAAAAAUGCCAGAGAGAUAAAAGAGUAUAUCGAGGAAAUCUAUUGUGGUUCAAAACUUCAAAUGAACAUGUCAUGCUUCUGGGACAUAGUAAAGGAGGGAUAGAUGCAGCUGCUGCUUUAUCAUUGUGUUGCUCUGAUUUGAAAGAUAAGGUAGUUGGAUUGGUAUUAGCACAAAGUCCUUAUGGUGGUAGCACAAUAGCUUCAAAUAUUUAUGUGAAGGACAACUUGGUGAUUAUGUUAAUGCGUGCAGACUUAUGGGGAUUAUAAUCUGUUAAGUGAUUAAGGGUGAUCUACAAGCGCUGCAAAUCAGGUAUUGCGAGAGGAGCAAUGGGCUUGUCACGUGUUGUGAUGCAUAAGUCCCUGGAUCCAUUUUAGUGCACCCUAAACGAAAAUUGGACCAUGCUUGGAUGGUCUCCUCAUCAUUGAAUGACGACCCUUCUGAAGCAGAUGCUUCUCGUGUGUGCUAAAGCGGAUGCUUCUCGAGUGUGCGAAGCUCUAUCAGCGUUGCUUGUGGAAGUUGGACAAAAGAAGAGACACGAACUUGCAAUAAAAGAUGAGUGAGAGCCUCUUGCGAUUUAUGCCUUUCACUGAUUGUUAUGCUACUCCUGUACAUCAAUAGCAAAUGGCUCUUGGUGCCAUUUGAAAUUGUAAAUAUAUAGCCCCUAGUCACCAAGAAUUAGAUUUUGAUAUCAUCUAGUUAUGCUCUUUGACUAAUGAAAUCGAUAACACUGUUACAACGCUAAUGUAAAAUAAAAAAUGAAUUUUUUUACAUAUUUA